rnacentral:rRNA from 1 species
UACGUAGGGUGCAAGCGUUGUCCGGAAUUAUUGGGCGUAAAGAGCUCGUAGGCGGUUUGUCGCGUCUGCUGUGAAAACUCGGGGCUUAACUCCGGGCCUGCAGUGGGUACGGGCAGACUAGAGUGCGGUAGGGGAGACUGGAAUUCCUGGUGUAGCGGUGAAAUGCGCAGAUAUCAGGAGGAACACCGGUGGCGAAGGCGGGUUGCUGGGCUGACACUGACGCUGAAGUGCGAAAGCUAGGGGAGCGAACGGG